rnacentral:lncRNA from 1 species
UCAGCAGCUGGCUUCUCUUCCUCAACAGCUUCAGGCUUCUCUUCUUCCUUAACCACUACCUCUUCUUUAGGAUCUUCAGCCGCUGGUUCCGAUACCGGCUCCGGGGCAAUUGGUUCGGCAGAAGGAGCCUCAGCAGAGUCGUCAAUAUUCAAUUUCUCCUUAGUCUCCUCUACAAGUUCUGGCUCAGCAGUCUUCUCUACUGUUGGUUCUUCUGCUUCUUCUUUGGCCACAACAUCUUCCUUCGCCUCCUCCACCACCUUCACCUCCUUUGUCUCAACCUCAACUGGGGUGGUUUCAUCAGCUUCUGCAGCCUCAGCCUUAGGAACUUCACCAGAAGCCACAACA